rnacentral:rRNA from 1 species
UUGGGUUAAGUCCCGCAACGAGCGCAACCCUUGUCUUUAGUUGCCAUCAUUAAGUUGGGCACUCUAGAGAGACUGCCAGGGAUAACCUGGAGGAAGGUGGGGAUGACGUCAAAUCAUCAUGCCCCUUAUGCUUAGGGCUACACACGUGCUACAAUGGGGAGUACAGAGGGUUGCCAAGCCGUAAGGUGGAGCUAAUCCCUUAAAGCUACUCUCAGUUCGGAUUGUAGGCUGAAACUCGCCUACAUGAAGC